rnacentral:tRNA from 1 species
GCCUAUAGCUCAGCUGGUUAGAGCACUCGACUCAUAAUCGAUUGGUCCUUGGUUCAAGUCCAAGUAGGC